rnacentral:pre_miRNA from 1 species
GGUUUUGAGAGGCUGAAGCUGCCAGCAUGAUCUGGUAAUCGCUACAUACGACAUAUAUACAUAUACAUACUAAUUUAAUUUACACAUGUAUCAAUGUAUCCAGGGCCGGCUGAGGCGCAGGUACAAGGGGGCGUGGACCCAGGGUCCAAAUUUUUUUUUUCAUAAUUAGUGUUAAAAUGGAGCUUGAUUUUCAAAAAAAAAAAAUUUAAAAGAGUCCAAAAUUUUUAAUUUAUUUAUAGAGUAUAUGUAAAACUUUUUUUUUGAAAAAUUAUUUUGUCCAAGGGCCUAUAAUUUACAUGAGCUGGCCCUGGAUGUAUCUCUCAAAUUAAUAUAAUCUUAGUGUUAAAAAUGUGUUUUCUCCUCUUUUUCAUGGAUGCAUGCAUGUAUGUGUGUGUAUAAGUGUAUAGAUAGUGGUACCAGAUCAUCCUGCGGCUUCAUUCACUCAAAUC